GACGUAGGGCGCGAGCGUUGUCCGGAUUUAUUGGGCGUAAAGAGCUCGUAGGCGGCUUGUCGCGUCGACUGUGAAAACCCGCGGCUUAACUGCGGGACUGCAGUCGAUACGGGCAGGCUAGAGUUCGGUAGGGGAGACUGGAAUUCCUGGUGUAGCGGUGAAAUGCGCAGAUAUCAGGAGGAACACCGGUGGCGAAGGCGGGUCUCUGGGCAGUAACUGACGCUGAGGAGCGAAAGCGUGGGGAGCGAACAGG
rnacentral:rRNA from 1 species